rnacentral:rRNA from 1 species
CCUACGGGGGGCAGCAGUGAGGAAUAUUGGUCAAUGGACGCAACUCUGAACCAGCCACGCCGCGUGCAGGAAGACGGCUCUAUGAGUUGUAAACUGCUUUUGUACGAGGGUAAACGCAGAUACGCGUAUCUGUCUGAAAGUAUCCUACGAAUACGGAUCGGCUAACUCCGUGACAGCAGCCGCGGUAAUCCGGAGGAUUCAAGCGUUAUCCGGAUUCAUUGGGGUUAAAGGGUGCGUAGGCGGUCGGAUAAGUUAGAGGUGAAAUCCCGAGGCUCAACUUCGGAAUUGCCUAUGAUACUGUUCGGCUAGAGAGUAGUUGCGGUAGGCGGAAUGUAUGGUGUAGCGGUGAAAUGCUUAGAGAUCAUACAGAACACCGAUUGCGAAGGCAGCUUACCAAGCUACUUCUGACGUUGAGGCACGAAAGCGUGGGGAGCAAACAGGAUUAGAUACCCCUGUAGUC